AAGGCAUUAGUAAAAUAUUACCCUAUCUUGUCAAGAUAGAAUUACGGGUUAGACCCCCGUAUGCCUUA
rnacentral:tRNA from 1 species